AGAGGAGGAGAAGGGAAGUCGGGGACGUCGGUCAUGUCUAGGCGCUGGUGUUCUGGGGUGUCAGGCAGAGUGGAAGGAGAGGAGGAGAAGGGAAGUCGGGGACGUCGGUCAUGUCUAGGCGCUGGUGUUCUGGGGUGUCAGGCAGAGUGGAAGGAGAGGAGGAGAAGGGAAGUCGGGGACGUCGGUCAUGUCUAGGCGCUGGUGUUCUGGGUGAGUGAGUGCCCUUUGUUAAAUCUAUUCCUGUUUUGAUCAAGAUCUUGAGAUCUUCCAUGUUGCUUGACUCACCUCUACUCUUUAAGAAACAUUUCUUUUGUCUAUUCUGGCAGCCACUGGUAUCCACUUUUUUUUUUCUAUGUAUUUGAUUACCUUCUUUACCCUUUAUUUGUGGAUUGUAUUUUUCUGUUUUGAGUGUUUUAUUUCACUCUCAUCUUGUCCUGAAAGCUUUAGCUGUGUUUUUUCUAUGUCAUUGGAUUUACUUCCUUCGAAGGGAUGAAUAAUACUUCGUUUUCUGUAUUGGUCAUAUUUUAUUUAUCCAUCCGACUCUAGACUAACAUUUGUGUUUCCUCCUCACCAUUG
rnacentral:lncRNA from 1 species